UUAUGACAGAAUCAUCUGGUGGCCAGGUC
rnacentral:sRNA from 1 species